AAGUGUUUGUUGGUCGAAAUCCGAAAACGAUGUCACGUGGCAUCCCGCCGAGCAGCCUCAGCCUCAAACGCCUCUGGCCACGCAGAAUUUCGUGUGCGGUGCCGCUCGCCUCUUAUCCCCGCCGACUCACAGCGGACAAGAUCAGAAGAAAAAUAUCAGCGCCGGCCAGAAAUCAAAUCCAAAUGGCACUGCUGAGCCCCCGCGUGCCGCGGCUGCCGCCCUCCGCCGCCGGUGCGCUCCGGUGCUGUGGCCGGGGAGUCGCCUCCGCGCACCGGUGCCACGCGACGGCGGCGGGCGGCGUGGCGGCGGGCUCGCCUCCGUCGUCGGAGCUGGAGGCCAUCCGGUGGGGCAGCGCCAAGCUGCAGGGCACCCGCGAUGAGAUGGAGGACGAGGUCGUCCUCCGACCGGGCUCCCUCCACCACGGCUUCUCCUUCGCCGCCGUCUUCGAUGGACACGCUGGCUUCUCCGCCGUCCAGUUCCUCAGGGACGAGCUGUACAAGGAGUGCGCGGCCGCGUUGGACGGCGGCGCGGUGCUGAGCACCAAGAAUCUCGAGGCUAUCACGGCCUCCAUUCGGCGUGCGUUCGCCGCAGUGGACGCCAACCUCUCCACCUGGCUUGAGCAAAUGGACAAGGACGACGACUCUGGCGCGACAGCCACUGCCGUGUUUCUGAGGAACGAUGUCCUUGUUACCUCGCACAUUGGCGACUCUUGUUUGCAGGUGAUAUCACGUGGUGGAAGACCUGAAGCUUUGACCAACUUUCAUCGACCGUACGGGAACAACAAAACGUCCCUGGAAGAGGUCAAGAGGAUCAGAGCAGCAGGUGGAUGGAUUAUUGAUGGGCGUAUAUGUGGAGACAUUUCUGUAUCUCGUGCUUUUGGGGAUAUAAGAUUUAAGACACGAAAAAAUGAGAUGCUGGUAAAAGGAGUUAAAGAAGGAAGAUGGACUGAAAAGUUUAUCUCACGAGUACAAUUCAAAGGGGAUCUAAUAAUAUCAUCACCUGAUGUAUCUCUGGUAGAACUUGGACCAGAUGUGGAAUUUGUUUUGCUAGCAACCGAUGGUCUUUGGGAUUACAUUAAAAGCUCUGAAGCUGUAGCUCUUGUCAGAGAUCAACUACGUCAACAUGGUGAUGUCCAGCUGGCCUGUGAGGCACUUGGUCAGAAAGCUCUGGAUCAACGGUCACAGGACAAUAUUAGCAUAGUCAUAGCUGACUUGGGGAGGACAAAUUGGAAGGAGUUGCCUGUUGAAACGCCAAACUUGUUCUUGGAACUAAGUCAAGCAGUUGUAACUCUUGGGGCUGUCUCAGUAGGAAUUUGGAUCUCGUCGUUUCUUACAUUACAGUAGGACUAAUUCUGUUCAUAUGUGUAUAGUACUUGCGGUGUACAUCUUCCGCACCUAGCUGCAAAUAUAUGUAUAUUCUUAUAGGGUUAUUUAACCAGUUCAGCUUUCCUUUGCGUGCAAUGGGGUGGAAUGAUCCGCCUGGACUUCCUCUCUUUUGUGAUAUUGAGAAUUCAGAAACUGAAAAUCUGAGAACGAGGAGCGAGAAACAUUUGAUGCCGUACGUUCUAAAAAGAAGUGAAAUUAUCACUUUGACAA